GCCGGGCGCAGUGGCGCGUGCCUGUAGUCCCAGCUACUCGGGAGGCUGAGGUGGGAGGAUCACUUGAGCCCAGGAGUUCUGGGUUGUAGUGCGCUAUGCUGAUCGGGUGUCUAAACUAAGUUCGGCAUCAAUAUGGUGACCUCCUGGGAGUAGGGGACCACCAGGUUGCCUAAGGAGGGGUGAACCAGCCCAGGUCAGAAACCGAGCAGGUCAAAACUCCCGUGCUGAUCAGUAGUGGGAUCGCACCUGUGAAUAGCCACUGCAUUCCAGCCUGGGCAACAUAGCGAGACCCCGUCUCU
rnacentral:SRP_RNA from 1 species